rnacentral:rRNA from 1 species
GACGAACGCUGGCGGCGUGCUUAACACAUGCAAGUCGAACGGAAAGGCCCUGCUUUUGUGGGGUGCUCGAGUGGCGAACGGGUGAGUAACACGUGAGUAACCUGCCCUUGACUUUGGGAUAACUUCAGGAAACUGGGGCUAAUACCGGAUAGGAGCUCCUGCUGCAUGGUGGGGGUUGGAAAGUUUCGGCGGUUGGGGAUGGACUCGCGGCUUAUCAGCUUGUUGGUGGGGUAGUGGUUUACCAAGGCUUUGACGGGUAGCCGGCCUGAGAGGGUGACCGGCCACAUUGGGACUGAGAUACGGCCCAGACUCCUACGGGAGGCAGCAGUGGGGAAUAUUGCACAAUGGGCGGAAGCCUGAUGCAGCAACGCCGCGUGCGGGAUGACGGCCUUCGGGUUGUAAACCGCUUUCGCAUGUGACGAAGCGUAAGUGACGGUAAUGGGUAAAGAAGCACCGGCUAACUACGUG